rnacentral:misc_RNA from 1 species
UCUCCGAUACCUUCAAGCAGUUUAUCUACAUCCUCUCCUAGCUCCGACAGCCUUGCACACAGCUUUUCUACCUUACUCUGUUCUUGCCCAAGGCACACUAGCAAAUCAUUCAGUUCUGCUUCACUCUCUUUCUGGGCUUCUUCCCUAGCUUCCGCCUUUAGUGCUUCAAUAUCUGGAACUGUCGAUGCUCCACCAUUCUUCAAAGCUCUCACCUCCUUUUCUAGAUGGAAGUUGGCCUGUUCAAG